rnacentral:lncRNA from 1 species
CCCACCCCACUUUUCAAAGAUGUUUUAUACAGCAAAUCCAUGUGGUGAGGUGGGUACAAAGUGGUUCAAAACUAUAAGGCCCAGUGGAAAUUUAUAUACUAUUAAAGUAUAACAAAUAAGUUUUCUAUGUGUCAUUUAAUGUCUUCUAAUCAAAUAGAGGUGUUUGACUAAAAGACUUUCAUAUAGAGAUGGAUAUUUGAAUGUGUUCCAAAGACAAGGUCAUCAUGGUUGUCAUGCUAAAAUACUAUGUGUGGCUUUUGAUCUUAUUUCUCUAUAUAAUGUGUAACUGUUGUCUGUUAACAUUCUGCAGAGAUUCAACUAAAUGAUCAUGGUUGGUAAAAUAACAGCCCUCUAACUGUUCUUUAUAUUUCAAAAGUGCUUAAUGUCCAGACAAAAUUAUAAUAGUUAAGCUCACUGCUCCUACUGAAAUACUUACGUCACUGAUCUUCUCUUCUGGGUGUUCAACAACUAAAAUUUGGAGACCAAUACUAGAAAGGUAACUGGACUAUGAGGACAGCCAAUAUUUUGGCCCUGGCCCCUCAAGGUCAACAAAGAUCCAGGACACAAAGGAACCUUUCCUACAGGAUCCUACAUCUUUGCCUGUCUGUGGCGUUUUCUUUCCACUGUAACAGGAUGCCUCUUUGACCCAGUAGGACCUGGAAUGGUGUGUAGCAACUACAAUGUGCAGCUAGCUUUUCUUUGAAGUCAACGUUUCUUCUAACAAAAUAUGGCCACUAUUCCUCCAUAAAAGAACUAAACAUCCUUCUGAAAAAUGAGUGUUGUAAAAGGGAGAUUUCACCUUCAAGACAUAGAAGAGGUUGCAUGAAAGUCAUGUCCAAUCUUCCUUGGAGACAUUUCCCAAGGGGUGGAUGAACUGAAAUGGUUUUAGGAAUUCUAAAGGCCGUUUACCCUUGGUUCCAAUUUUGCCUCCAAUCAAGGAUCACCAGCCAAAUGAGAGAAAUUAAACAAUGACUUAUUAAUCUGUACAAUCAUUUUGGGGGAUUCUUUGAAUAAAAGUUGCCAAUAUUCUGUGAUGGGGAACUCCUCUUAGGCCUGAGACCACAAUAAGAUUUCCUGCUGCCU